rnacentral:rRNA from 1 species
GACCUCACUUCACGUGAG